rnacentral:rRNA from 1 species
CAAUAGCGUAUAUUAAAGUUGUUGCAGUUAAAAAGCUCGUAGUUGGAUUUCUGGUAGGAGCGACCGUGCCGAACUUGAUUGUUCGAGUAUUGUGUUGUCUUCCGCCAUCCUCGUGGAGAACUUUUCUAACAUUAACUUGUUGGGAUUGGGACCCGCGUCGUUUACUGUGAAAAAAUUAGAGUGUUUAAAGCAGGCAUUAGCUUGAAUACAUUAGCAUGGAAUAAUAAGAUAGGACUUUGGUACUAUUUUGUUGGUUUGCAUACCAAAUUAAUGAUCAACAGGAACAGUUUGAGGAUAUUCGUAUGAACAUGUCAGAGGUGAAAUUCUUGGAUUUUGAUCAGACGAACUACUGCGAAAGCAUUUAUCAAGGAUGUUUUCAUUAA